GUUAAAUAAAUUUAAAUUUAAGUGUGUUUUAGAAGAAGAGGAACUUUCAGUAUAUUCCUUAAGAUGAGCUGAGCAGCAGUCCAGUUUACAAGAUGACAAGAGUUCGAGAGACAAGAUACAAGAUCACUGAAACAAGAGCCAAGACUGAAGAUUCAAGAGAAGAGAAAGCUGGCAGCCAUGGACUUACAAGUGGAGAUUAAUAAGGUCAUGUAAAGUUUUAUUUUUUUAUGGAAGACAGUAACUGGAGUUUUUUUGUUAUAAACAUUAUUUACAGAACUUUUUAGGUUAUAGUAAUGUAAUGGAACUAGUGAGUUGUGGUAGCUGUCAAAAAGAACUAAUACCUUAAGUUUAAUUUUUAAAGUUAAUUUUCUUAAUUUACAGAGGGAUUAGUAGUUUUUUUUAAAACCUUAUUUAGGUUGGAAUUUAAAUACAAUAGCUUAUUAUAAAUGUGUACGAACAGUUCAAGUUCACAGUACUGAUAGGUAGGUCAGAUGAUCUUAUUGAUUUUGAUGAUUUGUUGUUUUGAGUUGAUUUUUAAGUGUUGUGAAUUAGACAAUGAAAUAGUUCUGAAAACUUAAAUUAUUUCAAGCUAAGAAAUAGUAAAUUUAAUUGUAACUCAAAGGACACCAGAAUUUAAAUUUUUUUUUGAAUUAGUAAUGUUUGAAAAUUUUAUACUUUACAAGAAAGGUUAUAAACAAACAGAUCGGAUGGAACAAGGAUGCAGUAAAUCACAAUUUCAUUUAGAAUUAUUGAUUAGCUUUUGAGGUUAUGAAGUAAAAGUAAUUAUAGUUUAAAAGUUUGAAUAAAAAAAUGGUUUUUUUUUAAUUUGUUUGAAAUAGAAAGUUUAAAAGUUAAUUAGUCAUGAUCUAGGUGGGUGAUGGGGUGGGAAUUGGCCACUCUUUUUCCCUAUAACCUCCCUAACAUGGCCUUCUAUUACAACUAAUAGAAAUAAAGAAGAAGAAAAAUGAAGAAUUAUUAGUUAGAAUGUUUCUUUCAUGAAGAUAACUGAUGAACUUUUAUUGUUUGGAAGAAUAGAAGCAAGGUUAAUCAGAUAUUUUUACUCAGAAGAAGAAGAAGAAGAAGAUAAAGCAGUUUUAUGACUCGACAAGCCAGAGAUUGGUGUUUCCCCUCUGCGCUUCUAUUGACUACGUUGUUUACUCUCAUGGGUAGCUGGUUCGGCACCAUGGAGAGAGAUUGGUGGGCAUUGUGGUUGCCCCCAGAAGAAAAGAAGAGUAGAAGAGGUUAUGGGUGGGUCAUGUGAAGUGACCUUCAACCCAGUUACUUCGUGGGGACUAUUUGCUGUAUAGAGAAGAUCAAGACUCAAGAGUUAGGGAAAAUCAUUGGAGGUCAUGUUUCCCUUCCUUAAGUUUUUCCUAUCAAAUUAUUUGCCUGAUUAGAUUAUGCUAAGGGUGGGAUACUUUAUGUUAGCAGUUGAAUUAAUUAAUUUUAUUUUUUUGUGUGUUUGCAUCCUUGCCCAUCGAUUGCAGUUUAGUAGUUAGUUUUGUAUUUGUCAGGCGUGAUGGUAAUGCCUGUUGAUGAUGUUUCAGAAUUGUAAUCUGUUCGUGAUGAGGAUGGCACAACUCCGAAGCAGAUGUGGGGAGAAGUUGUGAGCUGCCCUGGAAGCCAGUCCAGUAGCUGUUGGAGUUGAGUGGUGUUUGCUGAUGGCCAGCCCAGGGAGCUACUCUUCUCGACAACACUGACUUCGAGGAGUUGCACCAACCUUCACGAGAUAAGAGUUUAAUUAAUUGAAACACUGUAAGGCCACUUAAUUUUUUUUGAAGAACGAAAGAAGUAUGGUAAUAAACGGAAACUGAAAAAAAAAAUAAUAAUAAUUAUCAAGAAUUUGCACAUUGUUUAACGAAUACUGAGAAACUAAGAACAGUAAUUUAAUUUGUAAAGAGAGCUUCACUAACAGAACAAUUUUUUUUAGAAUUGAGAACUCGAGCCUCUGAAGGUUCCUGUGAGAACAAACCAGAUAAAAGUUUUACAUUUAAUUUUAUGAAUACUUGUUGUUUUAAAAUAAAUCUUAUGCAGAAUUUAGAUGUAUGUUCAGACAGCAAGGAAU